rnacentral:rRNA from 1 species
AUUGAACGCUGGCGGCAGGCCUAACACAUGCAAGUCGAACGAGUGGCAGACUGGUGAGUGAUGUCUGGGAAACUGCCCGAUGGAGGGGGAUAACUACUGGAAACGGUAGCUAAUACCGCAUACCAUCGGAUGUGCCCAGAUGGGAUUAGCUAGCAGUUGGGGUAAUGGCUCACCUAGGCGACGAUCCCUAACUGGUCUGAGAGGAUGACCAGGCGAACUGGAACUGAGACACGGUCCAGACUCCUACGGGAGGCAGCAGUGGGGAAUAUUGCACAAUGGGCGCAAGCCUGAUGCAGCCAUGCCGCGUGUAUGAAGAAGGCCUUCGGGUUGUAAAGUACUUUCAGCGAGGAGGCGUUACUCGCAGAAGAAGCACCGGCUAACGCCGUGCCAGCAGCCGCGGUAAUUC